UACGUAGGGGGCAAGCGUUGUCCGGAUUUAUUGGGCGUAAAAGGCUUGUAGGUGGCCACGCCAAGUCGGAUGUGAAAUCUCCCGGCUCAACUGGGAGGGGUCAUUCGAUACUGGCGGGCUCGAGGCCGGUAGGGGGAAGUGGAAUUCCCGGUGUAGUGGUGGAAUGCGUAGAUAUCGGGAGGAACACCAGUGGCGAAGGCGGCUUCCUGGACCGGUUCUGACACUGAGGAGCAAAAGCGUGGGGAGCGAUCCGG
rnacentral:rRNA from 1 species